ACCUGAAGCCCCCAGGUUUACUGACCCAUUUCCAUUCUCGCGGCUGCCGGUCUCCUAGCAACGGCAACAGUCCCCCCAGAACAGGCGGAGAAAUACAACAGCAAAACAGAACCCUCUCUACCUCCACCCUGACCUCUCAGAGAACAUGAGAACCAGACCCAAAAAGUGAGAAAGAAGCAAGGCAGGUCAGGGUACCCGACGCCCCAAGCUCCUGGUGCCAGGAGCCCGUGCCCCCGAGGUGCCGGCCUCCAUGGGAACGGGGGCGCCUGGCC
rnacentral:lncRNA from 1 species